UACGAACUGUGCAAACGUUAUUCGGAAUCACUGGGCUUAAAGGGUGCGUAGGCGGCUUGUCAAGUAGGGUGUGAAAGCCCCCGGCUUAACCGGGGAAUUGCGCCCUAAACUGACGAGCUGGAGUGGGACAGGGGUGUGUGGAACUUCCGGGUGGAGCGGUGAAAUGUGUUGAUAUCGGAAGGAACGCCGGUGGCGAAAGCGACACACUGGGUCUCAACUGACGCUGAGGCACGAAAGCCAGGGGAGCGAACGGG
rnacentral:rRNA from 1 species